rnacentral:rRNA from 1 species
GUCUUUUUGUUUAAAAUUUAAAGUCUGACCUGCUCAAUGAUAAUUUUAAUAGCCGCAGUAUUUUGACUGUGCAAAGGUAGCAUAAUCAUUAGUUUCUUAAUUAGGAACUUGUAUGAAUGGUUGAAUGAAAAAUGAUCUGUCUCUAUAUAAUUUAAUUAGAAUUUUAUUUUUAAGUUAAAAAGCUUAAAUUUUUAUUAAAGACGAGAAGACCCUAUAGAGUUUAAUUUAUUUAAAAAUUUAAUUUAUUAAGAAUUAAUGAUUUAGAUAAUAAAAUAAAUUUUGUUGGGGUGACAGGAAAAAUAAAUAAACUUUUCUUUUUAUUAACAUUGAUUUAUGAUUAAUUGAUCCAAAAUUUUUGAUUAUAAGAUUAAAUUACCUUAGGGAUAACAGCGUAAUUUCUUUUAAGAGUUCUUAUCAAAAAAGAAGUUUGCGACCUCGAUGUUGGAUUAAAAUUAGGAUUGGCGCAGUAGUUGAUCUUUUAAGUCUGUUCGACUUUUAAAAUUUUACGUGAUC